rnacentral:rRNA from 1 species
AUUGAACGCUGGCGGCAGGCUUAACACAUGCAAGUCGAGCGCCCCGCAAGGGGAGCGGCAGACGGGUGAGUAACGCGUGGGAACGUACCCUUUGCUACGGAAUAGCUCCGGGAAACUGGAAUUAAUACCGUAUGUGCCCUACGGGGGAAAGAUUUAUCGGCAAAGGAUCGGCCCGCGUUGGAUUAGCUAGUUGGUGGGGUAAUGGCCUACCAAGGCGACGAGCCAUAGCUGGUCUGAGAGGAGGAUCAGCCACAUUGGGACUGAGACACGACCCAAACGCCGACGUGAGGCAGCAGUGGGAAAUAUUGGACAAAGGGCGCAAGCUUGAUCCAGCCAUGCCGCGUGAGUGAUGAAGGCCUUAGGGUUGUAAAGCUCUUUCACCGGAGAAGAUAAUGACGGUAUCCGGAGAAGAAGCCCCGGCUAACUUCGUGCCAGCAGCCGCCGUAAAAC